CACGCGGGCAGAGCCCCCCGCGGGGCGCCGCCAGCCCUAGUCAGCCUUCCUGUUGCUUUUGUAGUCUCAGAAACCCUCCUCCUUCGCUGUCCUGCUUUCCAGAGCUCCACGUGCUCAGCCCCCACACUCUCGGAGGCACAUCAUUUGCUAUACAGAUGUGCAGAGGGGUGCCCACGACGUGCCGGGCGCGGCGGACACAACUGUCCUGUAUUCGUACACAUUUGUUCAGCAUGUCUACAGCGAGCGCUCCGUGUGUGCCAGAUGAGCUGGAAGGCAGAAGCUUGUGCAUCGUGUACUGAGAUCUUCAUUCAAAGGAGAGAUUGUUAUGCAAAUAUGUGACAUAUUUGGUAACUUUCCAGAUGGAAAAAGAAGUCUCACAUAAGAAAGGAGAAAGAACCUCCGAGCUGUCUUCCAUGAGCAUCACCAUUCCCAGUCCUGAACCUGACUGGAUCACAGUGAGAAUUGCCCUACCGGAGCCACCGAGUCCAGGCUACCCAGCUUGUUCUAGGAUGUGUCCUCCUCACUGUCUCCAUCCUCAUCAUCUUUCUGUUUUCGUGAUUCCACACUUGGCUUUCAAUGUUCACUUAAAGUGAGGUGAACAUAUAGGACCAAAAGAACCCCCCAGAUUUCUUAAAACUUUGAUGUAAUUUAUUAAUUGUAAAGUUUGUAGAUAUUAAGAAAUGAUGUGGGAUUUAUUUUUCCUUGUUGCCAUAUAUUCUUUAUGAUAACUGAACCACAGUUCAGAGAGAAAUAGCUUGUUGUUAAUUUCUUGUCAUUCUAAAAUUCAUUUAUUUAUUCUAUUGUC